AUAGAGUCACACAGGAAGAACUGAUACUGGUUGAAAUAGGGAACAACGAACCAAUGAGGAGGCAACGCUAAUGAAGAAUGGUUGCCUCGACACCUCCGAGAACACAAUAUGUCCGUGUCCCAAAUGGGACGCAUUCUAGUUUUGACCACAAGACUGUUGUUCUCAGUCUGAGUGGAGUGUGUAGCUACGCUGUGUGUUUGCGUGCGUGCAUGCGUGUGUGUGUGUGUAGCUACGCAGCAGAGUUAGACCACAACCAAUCUGGUCAGAAAGAACCACACAGACAGGCCUCGUAGCAGGCAGGAAGGCAGGCAGGCAGGGAGGCAGGCAGGCAGACAGGCAGGCAGGGAGGGAGGGAGGGAGGUAGGCCGACAGGCAGGCAGGGAGGCAGGCAGGGAGGCAGGCAGGGAGGCAGGCAGACAGGCAGGGAGGCAGGCAGACAGGCAGGCAGGCAGACAGGCAGGCAGGGAGGCAGGCAGGCAGGCAGGGAGGCAGGCAGGGAGGCAGGCAGGGAGGCAAUCACCGAGGUUGAGACAGUACUCUAAAACCCACAGAUAGGUGUAGGGGCGGUGAGUCAAGCCCCUUGAUGAGGACUCACCGCUGGCCUACAUAGGCUGGAUAGUGGGUAAAGAUAUCUGAGGCUGCUGUACUUUCUCAUACAUUCAGGCACAUACUGAUGGUCAAAGCUAAACCGUUUUUAGAGUACUCUCUAUCCUGGAAAUUCAGAUGUUAGUUCAUUUACAGUCAAGUAGAGACAACAUUAUAAUGAUAAGUCCCUUUACUGCGGGCGCCGCCCUUGGACUCAGCAUAUCUUCCCCCAUUGUCUUCCUCGCUCACUAUCAUUUCAUUUUUUAAACGCCAAUAUAUUUGGAUGUGGUCGUCCAUGAAUAGCUGGCAGACAGAUAACAGUUCACAGUGAAUGGCGGCGUUUCGCUCCCCGGAUCCAGAAGGAGAGGACAGCAGAGAGGGUCACCUCCAUGACCAACACACAGAGCAUCAGCACCUCCAGCUGUUACAGAAACACAAAUAGUCCAAAGAAAAGUGUCAGGGACAGACCUUCAUCAAGCACCAUGCUGCCAUAUCCCAUUACUACACUACGUCAACUUUGAUGAGAAAAAAAACUAUCUACUUUUAGAACUAAUUACCUUUAUAUGAUGUUGAAGAUUGGGAUUCCAGGUAGGCAUGUCCAUGCCCAAAUCAACGCAUAUCAACACUCCUCCAACUACUGCUACGACCAUGCUGCCGAUGUUGACACACAGGCAGACCUACCGGUUCAUAAGACAGAGCGUUACAUGGAUCUUCUACUAUCAGCUACUGUGUGUUAACAUGAAAUAAAACUCAUCAAAGCCAAGGAUUCAAUCAAGGUUUGUAGUAAAUCUAGUCUAAUUUAAACAUGAAUAUCAGAACAGUCAAUGUAUUAACAAAUGUUUUAAUCUUUAAUCAAUUAAAACAUUUAACUCUUUGCUGGUCUGUUGUUUUUUCAUUUGUAAUUGUGUCUGUAUUCCAAUGUACAUUUUAUUGUGUAAAGGUUUUCUAAUCUAAAGUAAUCUAUCUUAAUCUAAUCUACCCAGGGGGCAAAACUGGUUCCAAUGCAGGCGAUUAUGACGUUAAUCUGGUUGUAGUUCAACCUGUUUUGCCCGCUGGGUAUUUCUGCAUUUCAAUCACAGGUAAAACUAUUGACUCACAGGUAAAACUAUUGACUCACAGGUAAAACGAUUGACUCACAGGUAAAACUAUUGACUCACAGGUAAAACUAUUGACUCACAGGUAAUACUAUUGACUCACAGGUAAAACGAUUGACUCACAGGUAAUACUAUUGACUCACAGGUAAAACUAUUGACUCACAGGUAAUAGUCUGGGGAAUUUGAACAACAGGUUGGAUAACAACCCAGCGAUGAAGAACUGAGGAGAGAAGAGAAGGAUCACAUUUAAUGGUCCUCACAUUGACAGCAAUUAUCAAUAGGUUUUAUAAGCGUGUUAUUCAAUAUUUUACUAUUGCUUAAUGAACAGAAAUUUGGCUGAACAGUUUUUUACUAAUUGAUUUGACUUAAUUGCUUAAAUUAUAAUUUAGUGAUAGUUACAUGAUCAGUAUAUUAUACACUGAAAUGAGAAUAUGACAUUCAGAAUUUUGUGUAAAACAUUUACCCUUAAAUGACAGUCAAUGCUAUUGAAUUGUGGGUAAAAACAAUAUAUGCAUCCAACAAGCUGUGAAUUUGACCCCAGAGUAGUAAUCUUGAAAACCUUCAUCAGAAGACUUUCAGUAUUUCCAAAGGGAUCCUCGACGUUUAAACAAAUAACAUGUAACGUUUAAAAGACAAUGCUGCCGCUACUCACUAGUAGUCCAGUGAAGGGCGCGACUCUGAACGUCGUUAAAAGGGACUGGCUCGCAUCCCGAGUGGCAGCAAACACAACUCCGACUGCAACACUGAGUAGACCGCUCGUCAUCUGCAAAGACUGUUGCAAACACAAACCCUCACAAAUUAACCGUUGAAAAUUAUCAUCCAUAAAUAUAUUUUCUGUGAAAUGCAUCACUAAAAGCAAGACCAGUCUAA
rnacentral:lncRNA from 1 species